rnacentral:tRNA from 1 species
GGAGAGAUGACCGAGUGGCUGAAGGUGCACGCCUGGAAAGCGUGUGUACGGGUAAGACCUGUACCGAGGGUUCAAAUCCCUCUCUCUCCGCCA